CUUAGGUUUACCAGCAAGGACAGGCAUGUACUCUCCCCAGUGCUCUCUCCCAUGCCCUUGCCAGCUGCUCCGCUAUGCAGUGAGUCCUGGAUGUCAAGGUCAAGACAGAGAAAUCCGUGCCCACUCCCCACGGGGACGAAACGCGGAUCCGCCCCACGCUGCCUGCAGUCGCCGGGCCCCACGACCCUGGGCGGGCUGCCUGACCCCUCAGCCACGGCCUCACACGCGGCGAUGGGAGCCGGGGACCCGCAACCCUGGGAGGGAGCCUCCCGCCAGCUUCUACCUGUCGAGACAGUCCGGACGCUGCAGGCGCGGCCAUCUUUUCCCGGGCGGCUGUAGGUCAAACCCAAAUGAAAAGAGACUACUGGCGCCAGAGCGCACGCGCGCGCCAGCGUGAUCGCUCGGCUUUCUGGGAAAUGUACGCGUCAGGAGCCCGGGAGUGUGGGUAAGAACCUCUUGCAUGCUGGGAGUUGUAGUCCGUACCUGCCGCGGUCCGGCUGGACUCAUGGGAAGCCCUGCCUACUGUGAGCAUCACUAUUCCCUUGGCAGGGAUCCUGAACUGUGUGAGAACAGAGAGACCCAGCUGGGCGCUCCCAUGCAGGCCCCGACUCCCCGUUCUCUCUGCUCUUGACUGUAGGCGUAACCAGCUGCUUCAGGCUCCUGCCUUGACUUCCCUGAAGUGAUAGACUGCAACCUGGGAUUGUGAGCUAAGUAAACCCUUCUCUUAGUAAGGAGACUCUUGUCAUGAGCCUGUUCCUGACUCUCCACCAGGCAUGGAGUUAGCCUGAUCCCUGAUCCCCGAUCCCCGGCUUUUGCUGCAUUUCCGACAUACAGCGUGCACUGAGCUGAUGACAUAUCUGAUGUGGUUCAAGGCUCCCGAGAGAGCUAAAAGGUACCUGAGUCUGAGGAGCCCUCAAUGGGGAAUAGCAAGCCAGACAGCUUGCUAAUGGACAGACAGAAUGAGACACCUGGCUGGCCCUUCAAAUGGGCAGAAGUUUCUUACCUUCCCAUACUUAAUGCCAGGAUUAGAAUCCAGGCCCAGAGACCAGCCCACCUCUGUCCAAUGGGACCCAAUCUCUCGGCAGCAAUUCUGGCUCUCGGUUUUUAAUCUUAGAUUCCAGUUUUCUUUGUUCCUUAAUUUUCCCUGUGGGAUGUUUUUUUUUUUUUUCCCAUAGAGCUUUGUGUGGUUCUGUUAUGGAGCAUAGAAGGAGGGCUGAUUUCUCUGUUGGGAGGUGAGGGGAGCACUCUGUCACUCUGAUGGAAUGGAUUGGAAGUGGGUGGAUGCUGGCCAACCUGUGUCCUGCUAAGAUGCAGCCUAGGGGAAUGUCCGUCCCUCACCCCCAGCUGCCUUCGCUCUGCUGGCUGCUGGUCACGUGUCCCUGUUUACCUGCACAGGCAGUCAUUAUUCACCCCUUCCCACGUACCCCCACACUUGCACACAAAGCCAGAGAGUGGCUUACAUUUUCUUUUCUUUCUUUCUUUUAUUUUUUUUUAUUUUUAUUUUUUUUUUUUAAAAGAACCUUCCCCAAACCCAUUCUAAAAUGUCAAGUGUUUCAGUUUGAGGAAAAAAAAAGCUGAAAAAACCGUGACUCAUGACAAGGCUGACAAACAGCUCUGAGGGUAUGCUGGUGAGUCACUCUGAGACUGUAGCGGCGAGGGCCAGCGGUGGGGAGAUUGUCAGGAGACCAGCCAGUAAAAUUCCACAACUCUCCCGAGCAGAGUAGGAGGUAAUUCAAAAACCCUGGGAUUUUUCCAGCUCUCAUUUCAUGUAGGACUCAGGCUGCUCUUAGAUAUGUUGAUCUCCUCAGGAAAUCAUCAAGAAUGAUUACCAAAAAUAUAAAACAAAAAAAAAAACC
ensembl:processed_transcript D430001F17Rik RIKEN cDNA D430001F17 gene